rnacentral:rRNA from 1 species
UGGUAGUNCACGCCGUAAACGAUGAGUGCUAGGUGUUAGGCCCUUUCCGGGGCUUAGUGCCGGAGCUAACGCAAUAAGCACUCCGCCUGGGGAGUACGACCGCAAGGUUGAAACUCAAAGGAAUUGACGGGGGCCCGCACAAGCGGUGGAGCAUGUGGUUUAAUUCGAAGCAACGCGAAGAACCUUACCAGGUCUUGACAUCCCGAUGCUAUUCUUAGAGAUAGGAAGUUACUUCGGUACAUCGGAGACAGGUGGUGCAUGGUUGUCGUCAGCUCGUGUCGUGAGAUGUUGGGUUAAGUCCCGCAACGAGCGCAACCCUUAUUGUUAGUUGCCAUCAUUAAGUUGGGCACUCUAGCGAGACUGCCGGUAAUAAACCGGAGGAAGGUGGGGAUGACGUCAAAUCAUCAUGCCCCUUAUGACCUGGGCUACACACGUGCUACAAUGGUCGGUACAACGAGUUGCGAGCCGGUGACGGCAAGCUAAUCUCUGAAAGCCGAUCUCAGUUCGGACUGGAGGCUGCAACUCGCCUCCAUGAAGUCGGAAUCGCUAGUAAUCGCGGAUCAGCACGCCGCGGUGAAUACGUUCCCGGGCCUUGUACACACC